UUUUAAUCCGAAAUUUGGUACAAAAUCGUUUAUUAAUUUUUGGAAACACAAGAGAGAAGAGUACAGUUGUCUUUCUCAAAGAAAUCUAUUGCUUGUAAAUUGUUCAACCACUGAAAUUGCGUCUGACAAUAAUCCUGAUGCCACGAGUUCAGUUAAGUACGAUAAUGACGAAACUUUGGAAGUUAAGGCUGAAGUAGCCCAAGAUCAAGAGGACAAAGAAAUUGUAUGCCAAAAACGUUAUGAAACAUACGACACGAAACUGUGUACCUUAGAUAUAAAAGAAUCUUCUGGUUUAACUCUUAAGAAACUACCGACCAAGAAGAAGCAGAAAAUUCAAGAUACAAAACCGGAAAUGAAAUAUAAAUGCGAAAAGUGUGCGCGAAGCUAUAGAACCAAAUAUUGUUUGAAUUAUCAUCAAAGAUUCGCAUGCGACGCCACGCCCAAGUUCAAAUGUACAUUUUGCGACAGGCGAUUCAAACGGAAAAGUCACGUGAGUCGCCACGUUGAUUUUGUACAUCUUAAAAUAAAUGAACUAACGUCGAAAACGAGGCAUUUUUGUGACAAAUGUUCUCGAAGUUAUAUUUGGCCAAAUGAUUUAACUCGACAUAAACGUUUAGAACACGGAACAGUUAAACCACAAUAUGAUUGCGAUAUUUGUGAUUAUAAAGCGAAAGAAAAAGCUAACUUGUCAAAACAUAUAACGUCACGUCAUUUCAAGUUAUUUAAUACGUGAAGCUUUAAUAUUUGUAAAAUUUAUAAUACUAAUUGAAAAAUAAAAAAGAAAUUAUUUUAUUUCAAUAUUUAGGGAAUUUCGAAUACAAAUUGAAAACUUUAGUUUUCAAGAUUACUUUUCCUGAAAAUGUCUUUAUAGGAAUUAAUGGCUAAGUGCAUUUUUAUUUUUUAAAUCUUCAGGAAAAUAACUUUUAUAAUAUAUAAUUACAUAAUUAUAUUGAAUAAUUAAAUGCCUUUUAAAUUAAAAUUAAAUUCACGGUAAUACAGUUGUGUAUGUUAACAAACUGCGGAGAAAAUGGAAGCAGAAAAUUGAAGAAUCAGAAGAAGUAAGCAUGCCACAAGUAUGUAUGAUGUUAUCCACAGAAAAUUAAUUUGAAUUUUAAUAAAAAAUACCGUUUCGGCUUCAGGCCACAAUUAAUAUUUAAAUUCUGCGAAAACCCAACUGUAAUUAUAUCUUAUAUCUUGCUUUAAAUAUUGAAGUUUUGUGAACUGAAUCGUAACUAGUAAUAAAAAGAAAUAAAUGCAUUCGAU